rnacentral:ncRNA from 15 species
GCGUGGGUUGGCCCGCUGCACUGGAUCCAGUGGGCUGGGGGAUACCGUCACCUCAUUCCCCGCGGGUGACGGUCCGGUCCGGGAGGCGAAGCCCGCUUCCCGGACCGUC